rnacentral:rRNA from 1 species
UAGCAGUCUCGGCUGUGUUAUAGCUUUUUACUGGAUUCACUUUUGGGGACUGAGGAACGCAGUACGCUUUUAGCAAGGUUCUAGAGCCUUUCGUACUUUAGGAUGCUGGUGGAAUGGCUUUAAACGACCCGUCUUGAAACACGGACCAAGGAGUCUAACAUUAUAUGCGAGUGUUU